rnacentral:rRNA from 1 species
AUUGAACGCUGGCGGCAGGCCUAACACAUGCAAGUCGAACGAGUGGCGGACGGGUGAGACAUGUCUGGGAAAGUGCCUGAUGGGGGGGGAACACCACGAGAAACGGUCUCUAAUACCGCAUAACCUGAGGUGUCCCCAGAGGGGAUUAGCUUGUAGGUGGGGUAACGGCUCACCUAGGCGACGACCUCUAGCUGGUCUGAGAGGAAGACCAGCCACACUGGAACUGAGACACGGUCCAGACUCCUACGGGAGGCAGCAGUGGGGAAUAUUGGACAAUGGGGGAAACCCUGAUCCAGCCAUCCCGCGUGUAUGAUGAAGGCCUUCGGGUUGUAAAGUACUUUUGGCAGAGAAGCGGUAUCUGCAGAAUAAGCACCGGCUAACUACGUGCCAGCAGCCGCGGUAAUAC